GCCAUGGCUCAGUGGUAGGGCAUCUGUUUUGUACCCAGAAGGUCCCAGGAUGAAGCCCUAGCAUCUCUA